GAUAAUCACAUUACAUAUAAGGAAAGAUCAAAUACAACUUGAUUGUUAGAUUUGAAUUCUCACCUUCUACAUUUCUGCAUUUGUUUGAAGAAGAUCUUCGUAUUUCAUUCACAGGUGACAUAAAUGGUGAUGGAUCAUGGGAUGGACUUGAAAUUUUUUAAUAACAAACAAUAUUGAAGAAUAAUGAGACCUUAGCUUAUCUUAUUACUACAUUGCAGGUUAGGAAGGAAAUUGGAAUGGCAUUCAAGAAUCUGCCAACUGAUAAAAGGCGCAAGUACACAGUUGGAAGGCACCGAGUAGGUCGUUUGAAUGGGGAAAGACCGAAGUUUGUAUCUAGGUGUGUGCCCGAGCGAUUGGCUUCCGUUGUAGGUAAACUGCGGGCAAAACAAAAAGUGGCCGUCUGCUCUAUUGGAUUUGGGCAAUUACUGGAGAUGAAGUGUGGUCGUUUGAAACGAAAACUUUGUGACUGGUUAUUACAGAGGGUUGACACAGCAAGGUCGGUAUUAUGUGUUAAUGGUUGGGAAUUAGAGCUAAGUGCACAGAAUUUUGGACAAAUAAUGGGUAUUAUGUUACAGUCUUUUGUUGGAACAACUUCAUUAAAAGGUUAUGUAGUAAUCUUCUACUUUUGUAUUGCAGAUAUCUUAUUCUGCACAUUUGCUGAACAACUCAUCAGUUCCAUUUCGGCAUACCAUUCAAUAUUUUUUUUCAAUAAUUCAUAUAUUCGUGUUGUUUAUCAGGGCUAAAGAAGUUCUGAUAGCCAUGAAAGUUAUAUCAAUAUUUAACAAAGCUGCUCGUUUCUUUGUCAUAUCUAAGUGUCCUCACUUUUACGCUUGCCAUAUACAUUAAUUUAUCGUUAAAUAAGGUUUACACAUGGUAAAGCCAUAAGAUAUUAAAGUCACUAUCAAAUUUAUUCAAGUCAUUAAUUUUUCUGCAUAUAUAUAACAUGUGAAAUAAUGAUUAGAGCAACUAAUUCAAUCAAAAAACCUUUAAAAAAUAUUACAUAAAUAGUUAAAACAUAUCAAGUUACACAUGCAUUUCAAUGUUUUUCAUCAUUUCUGUCACCUAGAUAGUACUUAAAUUUAAACCUAUAAUAUAAGAAGUUCCACUUUUUAUAUGCAUAUCAGGUUAAACAUGCAUAACAAAAUUUUAUUUACACAAUCAUGUUCUACGAUUUACACACAUAAUGUAAAAACAUCAUUUCCCACGCUGCCUUCUUUCUCAGCAAAGUUCAACUUUCUUUUCUCAUUGCAAUAAUAGUAGCUUGCUCUGGUUCCUGGGAAGCAACCCACAAGCGUCCUAACUGCUGCAUUGACCAUCUACAAUUUACAUAAACAAAAAGUUCCAUUAAAUUGCAUGUCAAGCAGGAUAAUCACAUUACAUAUAAGGAAAGAUCAAAUACAACUUGAUUGUUAGAUUUGAAUUCUCACCUUCUACAUUUCUGCAUUUGUUGGAAGAAGAUCUUCAUAUUUCAUUCACAGGUGACAUAAAUGGUGAUGGAUCAUGGAAGUUCGCAGAUAAACUGCCUGAAGUUUAACCAGAUCUUGGCGCUCUAUGAGCAAUAUAUAAUCUUGUGCAGACUUUGUAGGAGUAUUGGUAGAACCCAAGAAAAUACUAGCCUUGUCCACCU
rnacentral:lncRNA from 1 species